rnacentral:rRNA from 1 species
AAGUAACGAUAAAGAAGAUGAAAAAUCUUCUCGCCGUAAGACUAAGGGUUCCUGAUCAACGCUAAUCGGAUCAGGGUUAGUCGGGUCCUUAGGCAAAGCCGAAAGGCGUAGCUGAUGGCAAACUGGUGAAUAUUCCAGUACCUGCUAUAAUUUCGAUGGGGUAACGGAGUAGUGAAAGGACUGCGCAUCCACGGAUGUAUGCGUUAAAGGGAGUAGGUAUAUUUUGAGUAGGAAAAUCCGCUCGAGAUGCUGAACCUGAUAGUACAACAAAGCUUCGGCAGCGUUGAUAAUGUCCCUAAUCAGACUUCCAAGAAAAACCUCUAAGGUUAGGUUAUAGCAGCCCGUACCGUAAACCGACACAGGUAGUCGAGGAGAAUAUCCUAAGGCGCUCGAGUGAUCCGUGGUAAAGGAACUAGGCAAAUUGACGCUGUAACUUCGGGAUAAGGCGUGCCGCAGUGAUGCGGCCUCAGUAAAAUGGUCCAACCAACUGUUUAACAAAAACACAGGGCCCUGCAAAAUCGAAAGAUGACGUAUAGAGCCUGAUACCUGCCCGGUGCUGGAAGGUUAAGGAAGGAUGUUCGGCGCAAGCCAAAGCUUCUGACUGAAGCCCCAGUAAACGGCGGCCGUAACUAUAACGGUCCUAAGGUAGCGAAAUUCCUUGUCGGGUAAGUUCCGACCUGCACGAAUGGUCUAAUGAGUUGGACACUGUCUCUACCACGAGCUCGGUGAAAUUGUAGUAUCGGUGAAGAUGCCGGUUAAUCGCAACGGGACGGAAAGACCCCGUGAACCUUCACUACAACUUAACAUUGAUUUUGAAUGCCAGAUGUGUAGGAUAGUUGGGAGACUUUGAAGCAGCUUCGCUAGGAGUUGUGGAGUCGUCGUUGAAAUACCAACCUUCUGUUAUUUAGAGUCUAACUCCUGUAAGGGAGGACAUUGUUUGGUGGGUAGUUUGACUGGGGUGGUCGCCUCCUAAAAAGUAACGGAGGCUUGCAAAGGUACCCUCAGUACGGUUGGUAAUCGUACGCAGAGCGCAUUAGUAUAAGGGUGCUUGACUGUGAGGCAAACAAGCCGAGCAGGAGCGAAAGCUGGCUAAAGUGAUCCGGUGGUUCUGAAUGGAAGGGCCAUCGCUCAAAGGAUAAAAGGUACUCCGGGGAUAACAGGCUGAUCUCACCCAAGAGCUCAUAUCGACGGUGAGGUUUGGCACCUCGAUGUCGGUUCGUCACAUCCUGGGGCUGGAGAAGGUCCCAAGGGUUCGGCUGUUCGCCGAUUAAAGUGGCACGUGAACUGGGUUCAGAACGUCGCAAGACAGUUCGGUCCCUAUCUGUUGUGAUCGUUAGUAAAUUGAGAGGACAUGACCUUAGUACGAGAGGACCGGGUCGUACGUACCGCUGGUGUAUCUGUUGUGCCGCCAGGUGCAGUGCAGAGUAGCUAUGUACGGGCAAGAUAAACGCUGAAAGCAUCUAAGCGUGAAACUUACCUCGAGAUGAGUUUACUUUUAAGGGCCGUCGGAGACUACGACGUUGAUAGGCUACAGGUGUAAGGAUAGUAAUAUCGAAGCCGAGUAGUACUAAUUGCCCGUAAGCUUCAAA